rnacentral:rRNA from 1 species
UACGGAGGGGGCGAGCGUUAUUCGGAAUUAUUGGGCGUAAAGGGCGCGUAGGCGGCCUGUUAAGUCGAACGUGAAAUCCCCGGGCUCAACCCGGGAACUGCGUCCGAUACUGGCAGGCUUGAAUCCGGGAGAGGGAUGCGGAAUUCCAGGUGUAGCGGUGAAAUGCGUAGAUAUCUGGAGGAACACCGGUGGCGAAGGCGGCAUCCUGGACCGGUAUUGACGCUGAGGCGCGAAAGCCAGGGGAGCAAACGGG